UACGUAGGGGGCAAGCGUUGUCCGGAUUCAUUGGGCGUAAAGAGCGUGUAGGCGGCCAGGCAGGUCGGUUGUGGAAACUGGAGGCUCAACCUUCAGACGUCGACCGAAACCAUCUGGCUAGAGUCCGGGAGAGGAGAGUGGAAUUCCUGGUGUAGCGGUGAAAUGCGCAGAUAUCAGGAAGAACACCCGUGGCGAAAGCGGCUCUCUGGAACGGUACUGACGCUGAGACGCGAAAGCGUGGGGAGCGAACAGG
rnacentral:rRNA from 1 species